UCUCCCCUUCCAGCUACUAGAAUAAAUAAGUUGUUUAUUGCAUAUGAGAGAGUCUUAGGCAAGUACGAAAUCAAAGGAAGGAGUUUUGCAUUUAGCCCUGAGAGUAAGGAGGUUCGUGGCCAUCUAUACAUCUUGUGGGUGCACAUUUCACCACACAGCCAUGACUCUGGGGAAAGCUGUCUCCCCAGCUCGUGGCUUUCCCAUGUGGGCUUAACAGCUUUGCUAUUGAAGGGGGACUGACAGCAGAGGAGUUCUCAUCAAAGGCAGUGCUGACACAGCUGCCAGCAGAUCUUGCUACCUCAAUACCAGAAUGACAGCCACAAAUUGGAAGGAAUUCAGCAAAGAACAGUGGAGAUAAAAGAGCUACAGAGACUAAGGAGUUACUGUGUUUCCACUGAGCAACAAAAGCAUUACAACCACAGCCGAUGUAAUGGGUGCUUAAGACUCAGGAAUGUUCUACACAGAUGAGUCUUGACCCAGCAUUUCAUCACAGACCAUGUGAACAACUCUGCACCAUUGCAGGGAAGGAAAUAGCCUUUGAAGGGCAUUUCCACCCAUCGGAUUUCAUUCUGUGACAGUGAAAUACAUCUUUCUGUGCAUCUGGAGAUUUCACAUCCUGCACCUUUGUAAACCACAAACUUCACUCCUUCCCAAAAGGAUGGUGGGUGAGAAAAAGAUAUCAGGUAUAAAUUCCAGAACCUGCUUUUCUCCUUCUCUCUUAAAAUGUUUAUGAUCAAUGGUACAACCUGAGUCAACAAGGCUCAGCUGACUCAAACUCUCUAGUAUGAUCAUAUUUUUAUUAGACAUUCUUCAUAACUUUUAUUCUUACUACAGAGGACAAAACAACGUAUUUUCAACAAGAAUUGCCUGCACAAAAUGCUACAUUCAUCAUUUAGGAUUCUCAGUUCUGAAAAGGUUAAAGGAAAAAUUUGGAAAAAAAAAAAAAAUAUAAAUACAGUUACAUGAAACCUAUAAUACUCAAAACAGGCUAAUCACAAGCUGUAUAUACUGAUUAUAUAUUUGUACAGCGAUUUAGUCAUAAAGGAUCGUUGAAACACAAAGUCACACUGUAUGCUACCGAUUUCCUUCUUGGAAAGAAUUAUUUAUCUAAAGACCGAUUUUUAUUUUUGUCAAAUAUUUGGAUAACAAAGGCAGUGAGAAAUUCCAGGCUCAAUUUUUCUUCUUCCACAUAGCUUCCCUUGUCAAAAUUAAUCUAAUACUGCUACAAUACCUGUUAAUUAUAGUUUUAAUUCUGCAUAUGCUUGGCUUUAUGAUUAAAUUUUGUAGUUCUUACUUGAGAAAAAUUACUUCUGAAAUGAAGAAGAAUGUCGACAACUCAGAACUGCAAACUGCAGUCCUGCAUAGCUAUAAGCUGUGCAGUUGUUUGUUUGUAUAUGAAAACAGUAGUAUAAAAUAGUCCAAAAUAUAAAUUAAGAGCACCAAUUUAGUAAGAGAAAUGUGUCCCACAAGAGUCAAAAACUCAAGGGGACUUGUUUAUUAUUUUUAACCUCUCGGAUUCUGCUAUAACUUCAGCUGUGGGUGACAACACAGAGAAGCUGCUGUAUUUUCCCAGUUGUUGGGUGGCUGAAAGUGAUGCAGGUUGGUGGUCUCUGCUGGAGAGCUGGCCACAACCAGGACAUUCAUACACUCGUUCGGGAAUGGGGAAGCCAUCUACAAAGUGACUCCGGUCUGUGCCAGGGCCUGGGAACACACUAGUGACUCUCCCAGGGCCGCCGCCCAGGCUCAGUGUCUCCUAUGGCAAAGGCUCAAGGGCACAAGCCAGAAUUCACUGGAGGUGAUGGCAAGGCUUGCACUGAUUUCAUACCCCAUGACUACGUCACGCCCUGGCUUCAGACACCAGAAUUAUCAACCUGACGUUUUCCAUCACAUCAUCAGCAAUUAAAAAGGGAAGCAGGAGACUAACAAAUGAAGCGCCAUCUGGAGCUGAAAAACAAAGUGCCCGCCCACCAGGAGGGGUUUGAUCCUCUGUGACACAUCCUGCUCAGCAUCUCUGUUAUCACAGGGACACCCAGCACUUUGCAGCUAUUUUGGCAGUGUAAAAAGCCAGAUUUGUAUGCAGCCACUCUGAUAGGCUUGACCCGUUGAGUUGUCCAUGUCUUAGCAGUGGAACUAUCAAUUACUUACUUGGGGGUGUUAACCCCAUAGGAAGGAAACACAGCCCUGCCGUUACCCUACACACACCACGGCAGGUAUGACAUUGUGGGAGACUGGAUCCUGUUCCAUCCAGUCAUCUGACCUUUGUAAAAGAGCCUAUUAGGAAGCAAUGUGCUGCACAUAGAAAUGUCUGCUUGCAUUCCCCUUCCACAGACAUGUGUUUGGCGCCUGGGGUAUUAACUUUCAGACUUUGUUUCUUUUUACUGCGUAUUUGUCUGCAGUACUGUUGCCUGCAAAUGGGGUGCAGUAGAAAAACAAGCUGUGUUGCCUUUGCCCUUUCCCAGUUCUCUCAGAUGAAAAGGUGAUCUUAAUAAUUUCUUAUAUGAGAUGCCACAGUCUAAUGAGAGUUUAUUUUCAGUUUUGUUCAGAACUAUAACCCAUAUUAAGUUUCUAAGUUACAUGUAUACAUACAUAUAUAUAUAUAUAUAUAUAUAUAUAUAUAUAUAUAAAAUGAUCCAGUAGCAAUUAAAUAAACAGCAUUUUAAUGAAGUGUCUCUGGAAAACAAGAUGAAAAUAAUAAAUUCUUAGACACAACACUAAAGGCAAAUCAUUGUUAUUUCAUAAACAUUCAAUUUCUUCCAAAAAUGCUACAACCUUUAUUGUUUCAGAGCUACAUUAUAUGCUAUUUUUAUUAGGUUUCUUGCAUAAAUAAAAAACAACACAUUUUGCAGACACAAGAAUGAAAAAAUAUAUUCAGCAGGAUGUUACUCACAAACCAUCCAAAAAAAAGCUUUGACCAUAAUGCAAAGAAAUCAAUUUGACCAAUCAUCUGUGCAAUUUGUGUUCUGAAAACUCUCUGUUCUAUAAAACAGAACUUGCUAAUUUUUUUUCAGAACUAAUGUAUUUCUCACUUCAUACAGGACCAUACCAUUAAGUUCAAUCCAUUAAUUUUUUUAAUAUAACUGAGAAUAUGUUUUGAUUAUUUACCUUUCCCUGUUUUCCAACGCAUUUUUGGUAGUUCUUUUUACUUAUUUUGCAAGAAUAACCAUGCAGGUUUCUAUUUCAACACUAGCAGGUUACAAUGCUCUAGGCAGAUAUCAAGAAUUAUGUAACUUGAUAAGUCCCUAUUCCUUUUUUGCUCUUUGUAAAACAGUAGCUAACAACACCUAUGUAUAAUGCAUAUUAUAUUCAUGUGUACAAUGUAUAUUAUAUUCAUUCAAUAUUAAGCAAAAAAUAAUUUCAAUGGCAGGAUGUAACUGCUUAUACAUUAUUAAAUAAAGGAAGCUGGAAAGAACAUUUACGUGAAUAUACUCCAGAAAAGAGCAAAUGGCAGGAGAAUACUUGGGGCAGAAGUAAUUUCACCAUCUUCUAACAUGACAGCAACUGUGGGUUCACAUAUGCACAGCUACUCAGUACAGGAAAGCUGAGAUUAAGAGUUCCUGUGCAUGAAUACAUGUGGACAAUGGUGUUAACACUAGUCACUCAAAAGUGGAUAAAGAGGCAAUGGGUCAAAAAAAGGAAGUGAUUUUUGUUAGCAGCAUUAUCCUCACGUAUGCACUAGCACCAGAGCUUUUAAGGCUUUGGGAGCAGAAUUCCUUAUUCUGUACUCAUGGUCAAAAAAAGACUCACGCAGAUCAUAAUAAACAAUCACUUUCACUCAGUGAAGUGGUUACAGCAUUUACCUGCCUGAGAUGGAUGGUACUGGAAAUUAUGCGUAUUUGGAAAAACACUUAUUUUCCCCUGCAGGAAACACAAACAGUUUUUUAUUAUUAUCACCUUUUGCUCAUUGUUUAAAGGUACUUCUAUAUAUCUCUGGAUUUCUAGUUUAAGAUCCCCUGUGAGGAAUCCAUAAUAGAUGGAAUUUCAUUAUGACAUUUGAAAAAAUUAUCUU